GAUGAAGAACGCAGCAAAAUGCGAUAAGUAAUGUGAAUUGCAGAAUUCAGUGAAUCAUCGAAUCUUUGAACGCACAUUGCGCCCGCCAGUAUUCUGGCGGGCAUGCCUGUUCGAGCGUCAUUUCAACCCUCAAGCACAGCUUGGUGUUGGGACUCGCGUUAAUUCGCGUUCCCCAAAUUGAUUGGCGGUCACGUCGAGCUUCCAUAGCGUAGUAGUAAAACCCUCGUUACUGGUAAUCGUCGCGGCCACGCCGUUAAACCCCAACUUCUGAAUAUUGACCUCGGAUCAGGUAGGAAUACCCGCUGAACUUAAGCAUAUCAAUAAGCGGAGGA
rnacentral:misc_RNA from 1 species